rnacentral:snoRNA from 1 species
GUGCAUAUAUUUGACAGACCUGGAGUAGGUAUUGUCUGCGGCUAAUGUUUCCACUACAGGUGCAAGGAAAAAAGUGUCCUCCUGCUUUCUGUCUGUCUGAUUGUGGCUUCGAAGACUGAAUAGGGGAAUACGUGG